GGGUAUUCUGAAGGCCUGUCAUCUAGGCUACACGCGAAGAACCCGGUUUCUCCACAUGCCUAGGGGAAAGUCCCCGGACGCCCGGCAGAAAUUGCCCCUGCAUAGACGCAGUUAACCGGCCUGCGGCUCUUCAACCUGAGCCAAGACGCUCCCCGGAGCCGAGCUUGGAGCUCGCAGGCCGGCGUUGUCACCGCAAGAGUAAUGCAGGCGCUGUCUAAUCAGCCGUGAACACAACGGGGCUCAUUCUCAGAAUACG
ensembl:ribozyme RNase_MRP RNase MRP